rnacentral:rRNA from 1 species
ACCCGCUGAACUUAAGCAUAUCAAUAAGCGGAGGAAAAGAAACUAACAAGGAUUCCCCUAGUAACUGCGAGUGAAGCGGGAAAAGCUCAAAUUUGAAAUCUGGCGGCUCUGCCGUCCGAGUUGUAUUCUGGAGAAGUGCCUUCCGCGCCGGACCGUGUACAAGUGCCUUGGAACAGGACGUCAUAGAGGGUGAGAAUCCCGUCUUUGACACGGACGCCCGGUGCUCUGCGAUGCGCUCUCGAAGAGUCGAGUUGUUUGGGAAUGCAGCUCAAAACGGGUGGUAAAUUCCAUCUAAAGCUAAAUAUUGGCGAGAGACCGAUAGCGAACAAGUACCGUGAGGGAAAGAUGAAAAGCACUUUGGAAAGAGAGUAAAACAGUACGUGAAAUUGUUGAAAGGGAAACGCUUGAAGUCAGUCGCGUCUGCCGGAACUCAGCCUUGCUUCUGCUUGGUGCACUUUCCGGCCGGACGGGCCAGCAUCGGUUUCGAGCGGCGGACAAUGGCGAGGGGAAGGUGGCAGCUCCGGCUGUGUUAUAGCCCCUUGUCGCAAACGCCGCCCGGGACCGAGGAAUCCGGCGCAAGCCUGGGAUGCUGGCGUAAUGGCUUUAAACGACCCGUCUUGAAACACGG